GCUUGGGUAGCUUAUUGAGAGUUUAUUAUUGAAGUUAUUAAGGAGGUUGUUAACCCCUGAGCA
rnacentral:tRNA from 1 species